rnacentral:rRNA from 1 species
CGGCUUCCUACGGGAGGCAGCAGUGGGGAAUAUUGCGCAAUGGGGGAAACCCUGACGCAGCGACGCCGCGUGGAUGAUGAAGGCCUUCGGGUUGUAAAGUCCUGUUCUGGGGGACGAAACCUUAAGGGUCCAAUAGGCCCUUAAGCUGACGGUACCCCAAGAGAAAGCUCCGGCUAAUUAUGUGCCAGCAGCCGCGGUAAUACAUAAGGAGCAAGCGUUGCCCGGAAUUAUUGGGCGUAAAGAGCUCGUAGGCGGUCUUAAAAGUCAGGUGUGAAAUUAUCAGGCUUAACCUGGUAAGGUCAUCUGAAACUCUAAGACUUGAGGAUAGAAGAGGAAAGUGGAAUUCCCGGUGUAGCGGUGAGAUGCGUAGAUAUCGGGAGGAACACCAGUGGCGAAGGCGGCUUUCUGGUCUAUCUCUGACGCUGAGGAGCGAAAGCUAGGGGAGCAAACGGGAUUAGAUACCCGGGUAGUCCA